GGGGAGGUGGCUGAGUGGUCGAAAGCGCCCGCCUGCUAAGCGGGUAGGGGGUGUUGAACUCCCUCGAGGGUUCGAAUCCCUCCCUUCCCGCCA
rnacentral:tRNA from 2 species